rnacentral:lncRNA from 1 species
AUGGAGGAAGAUUUCCUCAGGUCUCUAUUGUCCACAGGAGAAGGCUGCUGGAACCAGGAGGAGAGAAGCAGCCCCGAGAGGCACAGUGAUGAUGGAGGAACAGAGAAAUGCACUCAGAUCUGUUUCAGCUUCGACGGGCAAGUUCUUCAAAAUAAAAAAGCAGCUGGACAAUUAUACUGCUAGAGGAAAGGACUAUUACAAAGUGAGGAUGCUCAGCCUUAGGCUCUGCAUUAGAAUCUGUAAGUCCUGAAGCACAUCAGGCUUGGUGACUGCAGAGUCUCACUGGAGAGGAGCAGUCUGGAGCUUUCAGAAGGAGCAGAAGUUCUGUGUCAGGGUACCUAAUGGAUCCUAGAACAGAACUGCCCACCCCUGAAACAUUCCUGACAGGAGCUUGUGCAGCACUGUUUUUCGGAUGGAAAUACCCCAGUCCUGCUACCUAAAUCACUCUAGUGCUUGACUAUCAGUAUUGAAAGAGAGCUUUCCUGAAGCCUAGACUAAUUCCUCAUUUUGUAAUGUUAACUACUUCAUUCAGGUCCUGUACA